GCGCCCAUAGCUCAGUUGGAUAGAGCGUCAGAUUGCGGAUCUGAAGGUCAGAAGUUCGAUUCUUCUUGGGCGCA
rfam:Microgenomates bacterium GW2011_GWB1_45_17 TX00_C0007, whole genome shotgun sequence.